AUAAACGCUGGCGGCGUGCUUAAUGCAUGCAAGUCGCACGGACUGAAGGGCUUCGGCCUUUCAGUUAGUGGCGGACGGGUGAGUAACACGUACGUAACCUGACCGAGAGCGGGGAAUAACUCGCCGAAAGGUGAGCUAAUACCGCAUAUGGUCGCCGGUGGCAUUCCGGUGGACAAAAGCCUUCGGGCGCUUUCGGAGGGGCGUGCGGCCGAUUAGCUAGUUGGUGAGGUAACGGCCCACCAAGGCGAUGAUCGGUAGCUGGUCUGAGAGGACGGCCAGCCACACGGGGACUGAGACACGGCCCCGACUCCUACGGGAGGCAGCAGCAAGGAAUCUUGCGCAAUGGGCGAAAGCCUGACGCAGCAACGCCGCGUGGGGGAUGAAGGCCUUCGGGUCGUAAACCCCUUUUGCAGGGGAAGCAACUGACGGUACCCUGCGAAUAAGCCACGGCUAACUACGU
rnacentral:rRNA from 1 species